rnacentral:rRNA from 1 species
UGAGGAAUAUUGGUCAAUGGGCGCUAGCCUGAACCAGCCAAGUAGCGUGCAGGACGACGGCCCUAUGGGUUGUAAACUGCUUUUAUGCGGGGAUAAAGUCACCCACGUGUGGGUGUUUGCAGGUAUCGCAUGAAUAAGGACCGGCUAAUUCCGUGCCAGCAGCCGCGGUAAUACGGAAGGUCCGGGCGUUAUCCGGAUUUAUUGGGUUUAAAGGGAGUGUAGGCGGCCUGUUAAGCGUGUUGUGAAAUGUAGAUGCUCAACAUCUGAACUGCAGCGCGAACUGGCUGGCUUGAGUACUCGCAACGUGGGCGGAAUUCAUGGUGUAGCGGUGAAAUGCUUAGAUAUCAUGAGGAACUCCUAUUGCGAAGGCAGCUCACGGGAGUGUCACUGACGCUUAAGCUCGAAGGUGCGGGUAUCAAACAGG